AUUGACAUGUGCAUGGCACAUGUUAAGGGGCUAGUAUGUUAUAAAAAUAAAACAACAAAUACAAAAAUACAAAACCGUCUUAUGUAGUGUGAAGGCCCUUUUUUCCUGGGAGGAUUGUUUGAAAGUUGGAACAGAAGUUCCGAAUUUCCUAACCAAAAGCGGCAGAGGAUUUCUUUUCUUCUAAAGCCUUAUGACUAUGAAGAAAAAGGAGAAGCCUUUGCACCGCAACUGAAACUGAAACUGAAAGGAGAUAAUUUAUAGUUUCUGGGUCGGAGAAAAUUUUCAAACAUCGGCUCUUACCUGUCAGCCUGUAAUUGAAGUAAGUAUCACUGAUUCGUUGUAACUUUUUAGCGUAAUUCAAGUCUGAUAUUGUUUUGGAUUGGAUUGUUGUUGCUCAGCUUGGAAAACUCUAGUAGUAUACAAAAGGCUACGGGUUUUGCCAUUCAAUUGUGUUCUUCUUUCACUUUUUGAUUAGUGAUCGUUAAUUUCAGAUGAAGUCAAUGAACUGUUGUUAAUAGAUGAGUUGUAUGAUUAUAUAUGCAUGUAUACAUUCGUAACUUUGAGUGUAUAUGUUUAUGUUCCCGGACCCAUAUUUGAUUUAAUCAACGAAUUCUUUGUUUGUGAUAUCAUUAGGAUUUGGAGAUGCUGAGAACGAAACGAAUGAGCCGGUGCAGCAACGAUGCAAAGUUGAUGGACCUACCCAUUGAUAUCCUCAUCAACAUCCUUUUGAGACUGCCGGAAAAAUCACUUUGCUGCACACAGUGCGUCUGUAAAACCCUUCUUCACAUAGUUGAAGCUCGUUCUUUUGCAAAACUAGUGCAUCUGCGCUUGCUUACUACCGCUUCCGAUGCAGUCACUGAAGUGCCUCAACUUUUGCGUCUUAGUCUUACUGAAUUCAAUGAGAACGGAAGCUUAAUAACAAUCUCUCCAUCACAGAGAUAUGAUGGCAAUGUCUUGACAAGAAGCAGACAUCCCAUUGUCUCAGAGAUUGCAUCCUGCCGUUAUGAUUACAAUGUCGUUCUGCAACUUGUUUUACUUUAAGGACAAAGAGUAUGAUCGAGGUCCAUGCUUCCUUUUCAACCCUCUCAGGGGAGAUGUUCUCAUGCUCCCAAAGAGUACCGUCCAAGUUCCACCUUUUAGAAAUAUGGUAUUCAUAGAUUGGUACGGCAUGGGGUUUGAUGAUAUAACCAACACCUACAAGAUUGUUCGUGUUUCUGGAAAUGCACAUUGCUGUUUGGUGGCCCAAGUUUAUGAAUUAGGCACCAGCUCAUGGAAACAGAUAAGCACAGUUCCUCCAUGUAAUUUAAGCACACAAAAUAUCUGCAUAUGGAGACCUGCAUUGGUUGAUUAAUCUCUCAAGUAUUGGAGGACAAAUCUGCAUAGUUUCUUUUGACCUCAAGAAGGAGGAGUUCUAUUUGAUGCCUCAUCCCACAUUAAGAAAACCAGAAUAUUCAUACUUAUGCCUUCACUUUGUUAAUUUUAGAGGAUCUAUGGCAAUUGUUGACACUUCAUCACGUACACAUAUUGACAUAUGGGUAUUGAAGAGUUAUGAGAAGAAAAGUGGGUGAUAGAUUACAGAGUAAAUCUCCGACUGUUUGUGGACCAUCCUCGGCAUCAUCUUGGACGGAGUUCUUCUUUCAUCGGUGAGUGGGAGUAUGGCAUAUUUUUCAUAGAAUUUUAUGUUUCUACUAACGCAUUCUUUGUGGAUAUAAGAUGUGAUUCUGUCAUAUCACUUGGAAGUCCAAAGUAUACAAGGAUCUUCAGCUAUCCGGGGAGUUUGAUUUCCUUAAAGGAUUAUGGUAAUUUGAUUACAGCAUGUAACUGGAGGCCUGAUUUCUCUACAAAGUCGUGGCAACUUGAUUGAACCAAAAUCAAGUGGGAGGAAUAUCUUUCAUAUGAGAAGGGGUGCACAAUGCUGCGUUCUACCAGAGAUUUCAAGAAGCGUUCAAUCAUAUCUCCAUUGAAAGAAGGUCCCUUAUAGAAAUAUUUAAUGAAACAUUUCACGGUAACCAGCUAUUUCCUGAAAUUGAGAAACCAAAAGGGGAUGGCGUAGCUGGACCUCUAUUGCAACCUUGUAACAUUAUUUGAGGAAUCACUGCUCUGAUACCGUGACUGCAAUACAAAAACAUUAUAGAACAAGAGAUCAGAAUCUUAUCAGUGCAAGGCUGACGCUCAUGGAAUGGAUCAAUGCUCAGGUAUCUUGUUCAUUUAGGUCAUCUUGCAGAGUUCUCCAAAUAAAGCUGUAAAAAUCAGACAUCUCUGGGUCAGACAUGACUUGGGAUAGUAGUUUGCAGCUCCUCAAGUUAAUGUGAAUUGCCAAAAUUUAUCCUGGACGUAUAUCAAACAUCUGCUCUUGGUACUUCUACUCAAACAACUGAAACUGAGGAAGACAGGAGGAGUGCGUAUAUGAACAAGAUUUUUGAUAGUAGCCUCUUUCCAUAGUCAAAUGCCUUGUGUUCUUGACUUCUUCGGGAAGUAGUGAUCUUGCUGAGAGAACCUAUGAGUCUGGUUCUGAUAUUUGAGGUCACUGGUCAGAUAGUGGAGCUUUCUUAUCAUGAGUUGAUAUAUAGUACCAGCAGGUACGUACACUAAAAUUUUUAUCUUUAGUAGCUUGAUGGAGUACAUAGCUGUAGUUGAGUAUUCAUUGUGCAGCCAACGGCAUAAUCAAUAAAUAUAACUAAAGAUAUUUUUUUAAUUGGGAGGGCCUAGAGACACACAUUCUUUUAAUUUGCUCAUGUUAAAUUUAUUCCGUUGAAGCUAAACCACGUCAAUGAUUUGUUAAUACAUAUAUGAGUUUAUUCUUGGUUUGGGUCCUUGAGAAAUAAUGAUUAGUUGCCAAUCAGUACUAAUGAACCUGCAGAACCUAAGCGAUCUCAGAUAUAUUGCGUCAGACUUGGGAUAUUAGUUUGCAGAAACUCCUCAAUUUGAUGUUCUUGUCAAUGUCAAUUGCUACAAGUGGUAGUGGAGUCGAAGGAAAGACAUGCAGGAGUCGCCAUUUGGAUACACAGAAGAUUCUUGAUGACUGAACAAGUAGCCCUGUUAUAGAACUGUUUAGUACCUGCUGGAGAUUACCAGCAGGCGGAUUAACAGUUUUAUCUAUAGUAGGUUGGAUCAUAACCCAGAAGCAAUGUAAUUAUUAUACUAGUAGCUUGGCCGAGACACCCUAUACUUUAGUUUUGAUACCUGCAUGCUGUCAGAUCUUUCUUGUCAUGAGUUGAUGUUUAGAGGCCGCAAUUGAAUUACCAGCAGAAACCUUUAUAGUGUUUUGUUUAGUAGCUUAA